rnacentral:tRNA from 1 species
GCCGAGGUGGCGGAAUUGGUAGACGCGCAGGAUUUAGGAUCCUGUGAGGGUUAAUCCUUAUGGAGGUUCGAGUCCUCUCCUCGGCA